rnacentral:rRNA from 1 species
AGGGUUCGAUUCUGGCUCAGGACGAACGCUGGCGGCGUGCCUAACACAUGCAAGUCGAGCGGAGACAGACGGAAAGCUUGCUUUUGUCUGUUCAGCGGCGGACGGGUGAGUAACGCGUGAGCAACCUGCCUUUAACAGGGGAAUAACGCAUCGAAAGAUGUGCUAAUACCGCAUAAGACCACAGUAUCACAUGGUGCAGGGGUCAAAGGAGCAAUCCGGUUAAAGAUGGGCUCGCGUCCGAUUAGCUGGUUGGUGAGACAACAGCCCACCAAGGCGACGAUCGGUAGCCGACCUGAGAGGGUGAUCGGCCACAUUGGAACUGAGAUACGGUCCAGACUCCUACGGGAGGCAGCAGUGGGGAAUAUUGGGCAAUGGGCGAAAAAGCCUGACCCAGCAACGCCGCGUGAGGGAAGAAGGGUUUCGGCUCGUAAACCUCUGUCCUAUGGGACGAAGGAAGUGACGGUACCAUAGGAGGAAGCCCCGGCUAACUACGUGCCAGCAGCGGC